GCUCUCCCCUUGCACACAGCUACCAUCUCCAUGGCAACCUCACCUCCUCCUGCUUCCCUAUUGGCUUCAUGGAGCAGGAUACACAAAAAGGGAACAUCAGUCUGCUGACUCCUUCCACCCUAAGCCAAGGAGAGAAAAGCCAUGCCUACAGGCAGAACAGUAUCUACCCUCUGACGGAACUUCCUCCAUCACAGAAACAGGAGUGGGGAGGUGAGGAUGAAAGCCGACACACUGCAAAUUCUGCAUCCAAAUGCUCACCUCCCAGGCUGACCUCCUAUGGAAACUGGAGCAGACUCUCACACCCAUCAUCUACAACAUAGCUCCACACAAGGAUGCUCUCAAAACUGCUGACUAAAUGGUCACUGCAUCCUUUUGGAGAAGUUUCUGAGAAAGGUCUGACAGGAGAAUGUACCGCAGCUUUGGACACAGCAUGCAAGAGUUAAGCCUACCUCUCUGAUAUUCACUAGUUCUGUGACAAUAGUGAAUGCAGUUUUCCUAUGUGAAAGGGGAAAUGAGGCUGUGUAUCUAUCAGUUUAAUGAAGAAGAAAUAAUAGGAGCCUUGUACUUGACAAAUGAGUGCACACCUUGGCUGCCUCCUUUUCUCCAGAGCUAACAAUAAUAAAGAAAAGAGGAUCCUAUUGGUCAUCUGAGAACAUUACAAGAUGUGGGUGUUUAAAUAUUGGUAAUCUCCUUCAUCAGCAAAGCUAGGGCUCAUUCAUAAUAAAGGUGACUGUAUGACCUGU